ACGUAGGGAGCAAGCGUUAUCCGGAUUUAUUGGGUGUAAAGGGUGCGUAGACGGGAGAACAAGUUAGUUGUGAAAGCCCUCGGCUUAACUGAGGAACUGCAACUAAAACUAUUUUUCUUGAGUGCAGGAGAGGAAAGCGGAAUUCCUAGUGUAGCGGUGAAAUGCGUAGAUAUUAGGAGGAACACCAGUGGCGAAGGCGGCUUUCUGGACUGUAACUGACGUUGAGGCACGAAAGUGUGGGGAGCAAACAG
rnacentral:rRNA from 1 species